GGGCCCAUAGCUCAGUUGGUUAGAGCGGCUGACUCAUAAUCAGCUGGUCCCAGGUUCGAGUCCUGGUGGGCCCACCA
rnacentral:tRNA from 2 species